GACGAACGCUGGCGGCGUGCCUAAUACAUGCAAGUAGAACGCUGAAGGAGGAGCUUGCUUCUCCGGAUGAGUUGCGAACGGGUGAGUAACGCGUAGGUAACCUGCCUGGUAGCGGGGGAUAACUAUUGGAAACGAUAGCUAAUACCGCAUAAGAGUAGAUGCCGCAUGACAUUUGCUUAAAAGGUGCAACUGCACCACUACCAGAUGGACCUGCGUUGUAUUAGCUAGUUGGUGAGGUAACGGCUCACCAAGGCAACGAUACAUAGCCGACUUGAGAGGGUGAUCGGCCACACUGGGACUGAGACACGGCCCAGACUCCUACGGGAGGCAGCAGUAGGGAAUCUUCGGCAAUGGACGGAAGUCUGACCGGGCAACGCCGCGUGAGUGAAGAAGGUUGUCGGAUCGUAAAGCUCUGUUGUAAGAGAAGAACGAGUGUGAGAGUGGAAAGUUCACACUGUGACGGUAUCUUACCAGAAAGGGACGGCUAACUACGUG
rnacentral:rRNA from 1 species